GGCCACAUUAUGUUGAAACACUGGUUCCCAUAUGAUCAAUAAAGUUAAGCAACUUCAGGCUUGAUCAGUAUCUAGAUGGAUGACCAUUUGAGAAUACCAGGUGCUGUAAU